AGUGAACGCUGGCGGCAGGCCUAACACAUGCAAGUCGAACGGCAGCACAGUAAGAGCUUGCUCUUACGGGUGGCGAGUGGCGGACGGGUGAGGAAUACAUCGGAAUCUACUUUUUCGUGGGGGAUAACGUAGGGAAACUUACGCUAAUACCGCAUACGACCUACGGGUGAAAGCAGGGGAUCUUCGGACCUUGCGCGAUUGAAUGAGCCGAUGUCGGAUUAGCUAGUUGGCGGGGUAAAGGCCCACCAAGGCGACGAUCCGUAGCUGGUCUGAGAGGAUGAUCAGCCACACUGGAGCUGGGACACGGUCCAGACUCCUACGGGAGGCAGCAGUGGGGAAUAUUGGACAAUGGGCGCAAGCCUGAUCCAGCCAUACCGCGUGGGUGAAGAAGGCCUUCGGGUUGUAAAGCCCUUUUGUUGGGAAAGAAAAGCAGCAGGUUAAUACCCCGCUGUUCUGACGGUACCCAAAGAAUAAGCACCGGCUAACUUCGUG
rnacentral:rRNA from 1 species